AUCAUAGUCAAAAUCUGAGUUUGAUCCUAGCUCAGAAGGAACACUAGCUAUAUGCUUAACACAUGCAAGUCGAACGUUGUUUUCGGGGAGCUGGGCAGAAGGAAAAGAGGCUCCUAGCUAAAGUUGUCUCGCCCUGCUUCAAAACUACAGGGCGCGCGCUACGGCUUUGACCUAACGGCCUCCGUUUGCUGGAAUCGGAAUAGUUGAGAACAAAGUGGCGAACG
rnacentral:rRNA from 1 species